rnacentral:rRNA from 1 species
UAAUACGUAGGGGGCAAGCGUUGUCCGGAAUCAUUGGGCGUAAAGCGCGUGUAGGCGGCUCGAUAAGUCUGCUGUGAAAGUCCAGGGCUCAACCCUGGGAUGCCGGUGGAUACUGUCGAGCUCGAGUCCGGAAGAGGAGUGUGGAAUUCCUGGUGUAGCGGUGAAAUGCGCAGAUAUCAGGAGGAACACCAAUGGCGAAGGCAGCACUCUGGGACGUGACUGACGCUGAGACGCGAAAGCGUGGGGAGCAAACAGGAUUAGAUACCCUGGUAGUCCACGCCGUAAACGAUGGGCACUAGGUGUGGGAGGUGUCGACUCCUCCCGUGCCGAAGCUAACGCAUUAAGUGCCCCGCCUGGGGAGUACGGCCGCAAGGCUA